GACGAACGCUGGCGGCGUGCCUAAUACAUGCAAGUAGAACGCUGAAGGAGGAGCUUGCUCUUCUGGAUGAGUUGCGAACGGGUGAGUAACGCGUAGGUAACCUGCCUGGUAGCGGGGGAUAACUAUUGGAAACGAUAGCUAAUACCGCAUAAUAUUGACUAUUGCAUGAUAGUCAAUUGAAAGGUGCAAAUGCACCACUACCAGAUGGACCUGCGUUGUAUUAGCUAGUUGGUGGGGUAACGGCUCACCAAGGCGACGAUACAUAGCCGACCUGAGAGGGUGAUCGGCCACACUGGGACUGAGACACGGCCCAGACUCCUACGGGAGGCAGCAGUAGGGAAUCUUCGGCAAUGGACGGAAGUCUGACCGAGCAACGCCGCGUGAGUGAAGAAGGUUUUCGGAUCGUAAAGCUCUGUUGUAAGAGAAGAACGAGUGUGAGAGUGGAAAGUUCACACUGGACG
rnacentral:rRNA from 1 species